GCUCGAACUCCCAAAACAAGCCGUCCAUUUUGUCUAAUUUUCAUUCUUUUCUACUAACUGAACAGAAUCUUCCCACCUUUUCAUGAAACCCCCAACCCCACCUCCCUCCACACACGUAUAUAUACACUACACAGACUUCAGAGGUUUCCAAACCAUAUCGAAAUAUCUUCUAACUCUUUUCUUCGUUUUCCUAUAGUCCUGCAAACCUUUUAUUCUCCAACACACUUGAAUUCUUCUUUCACUAUUAUACCGUAAUUUUAUGGCAAAAAGUUCUCAGUUCUUGGGAUUUUGUGCUUUGUUUCUAAUUAUAAUCCUGUGUCAAGAAAUGUUUUAUAUUGAGGGAAGACAUUUGAAGCCUAAGCCGUGCAAGAAAUGUAAAAAGGGACAUGAGAAGUCUUUGCAAGCCGCGGCAAAGGUCUGCUGCAUGUAUAAUGGCGGCGCACGGACAGGUAAGGUUGAAUAUGUGGAGGAUUUUCGACCCACCUCACCGGGCAACAGUCCUGGCAUUGGCCAUUCACUCCAUAACUAGGUUUCUCUCUUCUGGAUUACAAGUCGUAUCUUAUAAAGUUUGUCGUGCCUAUCUUAUAAAAUUUGUUGUAAGGCAAAAAAAUUUCUAAGCUGUAUUUCCUAAUUGUAUAUAAAUUGUUAAAUUGUUGUUGUUUUUC
rnacentral:lncRNA from 1 species